rnacentral:rRNA from 1 species
UGCUAAUACCGUAUAACAAUCAAAACCGCAUGGUUUUGAUUUGAAAGGCGCUUUCGGGUGUCGCUGAUGGAUGGACCCGCGGUGCAUUAGCUAGUUGGUGAGGUAACGGCUCACCAAGGCCACGAUGCAUAGCCGACCUGAGAGGGUGAUCGGCCACAUUGGGACUGAGACACGGCCCAAACUCCUACGGGAGGCAGCAGUAGGGAAUCUUCGGCAAUGGACGAAAGUCUGACCGAGCAACGCCGCGUGAGUGAAGAAGGUUUUCGGAUCGUAAAACUCUGUUGUUAGAGAAGAACAAGGAUGAGAGUAACUGUUCAUCCCUUGACGGUAUCUAACCAGAAAGCCACGGCUAACUACGUGCCAGCAGCCGCGGUAAUACGUAGGUGGCAAGCGUUGUCCGGAUUUAUUGGGCGUAAAGCGAGCGCAGGCGGUUUCUUAAGUCUGAUGUGAAAGCCCCCGGCUCAACCGGGGAGGGUCAUUGGAAACUGGGAGACUUGAGUGCAGAAGAGGAGAGUGGAAUUCCAUGUGUAGCGGUGAAAUGCGUAGAUAUAUGGAGGAACACCAGUGGCGAAGGCGGCUCUCUGGUCUGUAACUGACGCUGAGGCUCGAAAGCGUGGGGAGCAAACAGGAUUAGAUACCCUGGUAGUCCACGCCGUAAACGAUGAGUGCUAAGUGUUGGAGGGUUUCCGCCCUUCAGUGCUGCAGCUAACGCAUUAAGCACUCCGCCUGGGGAGUACGACCGCAAGGUUGAAACUCAAAGGAAUUGACGGGGGCCCGCACAAGCGGUGGAGCAUGUGGUUUAAUUCGAAGCAACGCGAAGAACCUUACCAGGUCUUGACAUCCUUUGACCACUCUAGAGAUAGAGCUUCCCCUUCGGGGGCAAAGUGACAGGUGGUGCAUGGUUGUCGUCAGCUCGUGUCGUGAGAUGUUGGGUUAAGUCCCGCAACGAGCGCAACCCUUAUUGUUAGUUGCCAUCAUUCAGUUGGGCACUCUAGCAAGACUGCCGGUGACAAACCGGAGGAAGGUGGGGAUGACGUCAAAUCAUCAUGCCCCUUAUGACCUGGGCUACACACGUGCU